rnacentral:rRNA from 1 species
AGUGAACGCUGGCGGUAGGCCUAACACAUGCAAGUCGAACGGCAGCACAGUAAGAGCUUGCUCUUACGGGUGGCGAGUGGCGGACGGGUGAGGAAUACAUCGGAAUCUACUUUUUCGUGGGGGAUAACGUAGGGAAACUUACGCUAAUACCGCAUACGACCUACGGGUGAAAGCAGGGGAUCUUCGGACCUUGCGCGAUUGAAUGAGCCGAUGUCGGAUUAGCUAGUUGGCGGGGGAAAGGCCGACCAAGGCGACGAUCCGUAGCUGGUCUGAGAGGAUGAUCAGCCACCCUGGAACUGAGACACGUUCCAGACUCCUACGGUAGGCAGCAGUGGGGAAUAUUGGACAAUGGGCGCAAGCCUGAUCCUGCCAUACCGCGUGGGUGAAGAAGGCCUUCGGGUUGUAAAGCCCUUUUGUUGGGAAAGAAAAGCAGCAGGUUAAUACCCCGCUGUUCUGACGGUACCCAAAGAAUAAGCACCGGCUAACUUCGUG